CCUACGGGAGGCAGCAGUGGGGAAUAUUGCACAAUGGGGGAAACCCUGAUGCAGCGACGCCGCGUGAGUGAAGAAGUAUCUCGGUAUGUAAAGCUCCAUCUGCAGGGAAGAAAAUGACGGUACCUGAUUAAGAAGCCCCGGCUAACUAAGUGCCAGAAGCCGCGGUAAUACGCAGGGAGCCAGCGUUAUCCGGAUUUACUGGGUGUAAAGGGAGCGUAGACGGCAGGGCAAGUCUGAAGUGAAAUGCCGGGGCUUAACCCCGGAACUGCUUUGGAAACGGUGCAGCUAGAGUGCAGGAGAGGUAAGUGGAAUGCCUGGUGUAGCGGUGAAAUGCUUAGAUAUUAGGAGGAACACCGGUGGCGAAGGCGGCUUACUGGACUGUAACUGACGUUGAGGCUCGAAAGCGUGGGGAGCAAACAGGAUUAGAUACCCCGGUAGUC
rnacentral:rRNA from 1 species